rnacentral:rRNA from 1 species
GACGAACGCUGGCGGCGUGCUUAACACAUGCAAGUCGAACGCGCCUGUCCUCUGGGUUUUUGGGGGUGGGCGAGUGGCGAACGGGUGAGUAACUCGUGAGUACCCUGCUCCCUUCUUCGGCUUAACGGUCUGAACGGGUUGCUAAUACCGGGUAUUCACUGGUCUUCGCAUGGGGUCGGGUGGAAAGGUUUUUUAUUGGUGCGGGGCGGGUUCGCGGCCUAUUAGCUUGGUGGUGGGGUGAUGGCGCACCAGGGCUUUGACGUGGAGCCGGCCUGAGGGGGUGACCGGUCACAGAGCGACUGAGAUGCGGCCCAGACUCGUACGGGACGCAGCAGUGGGGAAUAUGGCACAAUGGGUGCAAGACUGAUGCAGCGACGCCGCGGGAGGGAUGCGGGCCUUCGGGUUGUGAACCUCUUGCAACCGGGGUCAAGCCGCGACGAGGGUCGUGGUGAGGGUAGUUGGUAAAGAAGCACCGGCUAACUACGUG